AACGCACAUUGCGCCCCUUGGUAUUCCAUGGGGCAUGCCUAUUCGAGCGUCAUUAUCACCCCUCAAGCUUCGGCUUGGUGUUGAGGCCUGCUGUAAAGGCACCCUCUAAAAUCAGUGGCAGUGCUGUCAGGCUCUAAGCGUAGUAAUUUCAUCGCUAUAGGGUCCUGGUGGAUACUCGUCAAAACCCCCCCAUUUUUUAAUGAUUGACCUCGGAUUAGGUAGGGAUACCCGCUGAACUUAA
rnacentral:misc_RNA from 1 species